AAGGACCCCUAGGGCACCAAAAACGUGGCCAAAUAACUCCUUAGGGUUUCUACACAUUUUUGGGUGCCUCCUCUCUUCUCAUUCUUCAUCCUCUUGCUCUUGGUGUUUGUGAGCCAUUAGAGGAGUGACACUUGUGACUCUAAGCUUUCUAAAGCCAAUUACAAGGAGGAUUUGAGAUUGUUAUUACUACAUAACAAUCAAGGUAUGAUCUAAACCCUAAUUCAUAUGUUAAUAUCAUUAUUGUAUGCUAGAUCUAGGGUUUAAAGUCUUGGAUGAAUGCAUGUACAAUAGAGAAACCUAGAUCCAAGCAUUAGGGUUUGCAUGAGCACAUAGGAUGUUCUUAUGGCUAAAACCCAUCAGUGGUAUCAGAGCCUUGAUUGGUUUCUAUUGUAUUGAUGCNNNNNNNNNNNNNNNNNNNNNNNNNNNNNNNNNNNNNNNNNNNNNNNNNNNNNNNNNNNNNNNNNNNNNNNNNNNNNNNNNNNNNNNNNNNNNNNNNNNNNNNNNNNNNNGGAUUUUUGCCUAUUUUGACUUAGGAUAAUUGUCAUAAUUGUUUAAAAUUAAUAAAAUACGAAUUUUAUUGAUUCCUUAUGAUUAUCUUUGUCAAAAUAAAAGAUUUUGGUCAUCUAAUUAGAUAAUUGUUACCUUAUUUGAUAAAUGUUAAAUUAUUUGAAUUAUUUGACAUUAUCUUACAUGAAAGUAAAUUAGGUCAUAAUUAGAUAAUCACCAAUUAAUUGUUUAAUUGGCUUAUUUGUAUUUUGAUCUAAUAGUUUUGAAAGGUUUCAAAACUUGCCCUCAAGUUUUGGAAUUUAAAUUUUUGAUUAAAAAGUUUAAUUUUGAAAUAUUUAAAUUCUAAACUCUAAUGAUUUGAAAUGUUUCAAAACUUGCCCUAAACUUUUGGAAUUUAAAUUUUAAUUAAAAGUUUAAUUUUAAAAUGUUGAAUUCUAAGACCUUAAGUUUUGAAAAAGUUCAAAUUGCACCCUAUGGUUUUAUUAAAUUAAUUAAGUGUAUAAUUAAAAGAGAGUUAAUAAAUCCAUAGUGAUAUGGUUCACAUUUAAUUAAAUUAAAAGUAUAAUUUAUUAAAUUAGACCACCUAGUAUUUUCAAAGUGUAAAAUACACCCUUAGACUAUAUAUAACAUUAAAAGUCUAAUAUUAUAUAUGUAUAACUUAAACUGCUAGUCUUACCGUUAGUAGGCCUCAUUCACGAAGCCAAUCUAUAAGGGGGGUAUAAGGUUAUGGCCUAUAAAAUGGCCGUUUAAUGGGUGUCCAUUCUCACCCACCGCUUCUUUGAUUGGUGGAGGGUCGUUAGCCGAACGGGUAGGAUAGGGCAAAACUUUUCCAUUAAAAGUAUAAUGAAGUAUAAAGUAACUAAAUGUUUUAUACAAAAUUCCCAAUCUUAGUUACUUUAGAAAAAAGUGAAUUUGAUGCAAUUCCAUGAAAUUACACUUUGUACCCUUGCGAAGACGUUAGUGGAGCGUGUGUGGUUAACCGGCACACUAAAUGGUUCUAAACAAAGGUUGCAAAGGGUGACUCAAUGUUUUUCAUAGUUUGGUGGAGCGUGUGUGGUUAACCGGCACAUCGAAUAGGUGACUGUAACAUUGGGGGAACCAUGUAAGUUUUCAUGCUUAUUCACACCCAGUUUUGUGAUCCUCGGCAUCCCAGUCACAAAUCGAGGGACAUAUCUAGAUUUAAACAUGCCAUUGAAAAGUUCAAUGAAUCUCAAAGGAUCUAGGAGUUUUCAAUACAUUUAAAACUUAAUCUCCUUUUCGUUUUUUAUGGUGGAAAAUUAGUGAAUCGUCAUUCACUUACCUUCAAAUGUUCUGCAAUUUGGGAUACAACAUCCCUCUCCCAAGUUGUAGAAUAUUGUGUUGGGUCCUAGCCUUAAUAUCUCAUUUGGGUGAUUUAUUAAGGACUCAAUCAAUCAACUAACUUGAAUUUUCUCCUGUUUUGUAGAUGUCAAAGUAUGACAACUAUGGUCUUCCCAAUUCCCGUGGAACAAGUUUUCCACAUGAAGAUGAUAUUCCACGAUUCGAUGAGGAACACGAGAUCAUGCUUCACUUCUUCCACCCCCUCCUAUUGUUCUCCCUAACCCACAAGUUCAAAGGCUUGAAAAGUUCAAACUCACUCAAGCCCUUUUGGCAAGUGAACAUGAAGAAGGAAAGUCAGUGUGUGCACACGUCCUAGAGUUGAAGUCACACAUUGAUAGGUUAAGAAUGUUGGGAUCUGUUGUAUGUGAGGAGCUGGCUGUUGACUGGGUUCUUCGGUCGCUUCCUGAAUCAUAUAGUGAGUUCGUAAGAGAGUACUAUAUGAUGAACCACGACGUGACCCUCAUCGAUCUCACUUAUAUGCUUAUUGCUGCUGAAUCAACAAUGAUUUGGCGCACUGCAAAAGCAAAGUUGAUUGGUGGAUCUGCCUUCCAGACCUCUAUGGAUAUAGACAAUGGCAACGAAAGGCAUGCCAUGGUCGAAAAGUUUGAUCAUAAGAGAAAGGCAAAGUCUGAAGUAGUUCCGUGUGCUGUUCCAAAAAAGUCAAUUUGCUUUUAUUGCCAAGAGAAAAGGCAUUGGAGACGAAGCUGCCAAAUCUACCUAAGAGAUCUAAGAGAUGGGAGAGUCAAAACGUUUGGCUCUACUUCAGGUAAAAUCCACUAUGUAACUCCGUUAAGUUCCUAUUCAUUGAUACUUAAUACAUAAUAUGAUAAGAUUGCAUUUGAUUGUUUUUCAGGAUCAGAGAAAAGAGAGGAAGCUUGAUGGAAGAACAAGAUGAGUCUGCUCAUGAAGAAAAGGAUCACGAUCGCAUGGAUUCGAAGAUCAGAUUUUGAGCUUAGAAAGUUAUGAUAGAGUUGUUAGGAAUAUUUGAUUACAUAGUUUUUCAAGUUGAUUGGGCAUUGUAAGGAGAUGUUUUCCCCUGCUUUUAUGAAUAAAAUAAAAUUUUGAUUUACUUUAUUUAUGUAUAUCCUUGCAAUGAAAUCGUUGUGAAAAAUUGAUGUUUGUGUAUUUCUAUAAAUGGAUGUGAUUCCUAGUUAUGUUAUUUAUGGUAGUGUCAAAAUUUUCUAAGUAAGGAAAGAUUCUCAUAGCCCAAGUUUCAAUUGGAUAGAAACUUGGAAUCAUAUGAUUUGAAUCAUGUGAUGUAUGGAAAUCUUGGGACUUAGGAAAUUAAGACUAAUUCCUUGAUCACACAAGUAUGUGAGUCAAGUAAAGGACUAAAAGAAUAGAACACAAUGUUGUACACUAAUCAAGUCCACCACAAAUAACAAUGAGACUAUUCGUCAUGAUUUACCAAAAGGUCUAGUAAAUGUGGUUAUACUUACAAGAUUAAGUGUAAUUCUGAAUCAUUGAAAGGUUUCUUCAAUCUAAGAAGAAUCAAUGAAGGCAGAAAGAUAAAAGUUUCUCCAAUCUAAGAAGAAGGGAGAGUACUUUUGUAUCGGAUUUUAUGAUCGUCUUAAUGAUUAAGAACUAUAUCACAAUUGAUUCUCUAAGGACACCUUAGUGCACUAGUAUGGCUAAGAAGAGGAAUCGGAAAUUGUUGAAAUGGUUAAAUUAAAAGGACGAGUCACACUUCGUUCCAAAAUCAAGUCUUAGAUAUUCCAAGAUUGUGAAUUGAGUGACACACACUCAUCAAAUGUGAAGUAGAAAAUUGUUUUUCUUUAUAUUGCACGUUUGAAAUUCGUAAGUUGUGAUGUCUUGUAGAAGACAAGGACCAACUAAGACCAAAUGUGUGCAAUGUUGUGUCUUGAUAUAGACGCACAAUAACUCUUGGAUAUUUGUUUAUCAAGAAAUGUUUCUUGAUAAGAGAAUCUAAUAUGUCAAUAGGUCAGUGGGAGUCUGAAGAUCUUGAAAAGAUUCAAGAACUAAUCAAAAGUAAACCUAUUAAACACCAGCACACGACUUGAGGUUUGUAACCUAUCGUGUUUUAUUUUUUGUGCCAAUCCUUCUGAAUGAUUCUGCAUAUGAGUUCUAUGAGUUCUCAUUAGAUCGCAUAAGGCAAGCACCUUAUUCAAUGAAAGUACAUUGACUGGAAUAGGUGAGCUACUUGAUAACUUGGAAGCAAUGGUGGGACCCAUGAUGGCAAGAAAUUAAGAAUGAACAAAGUUCUAUCCAUAAGAGUUUGAAUUUGUCACAAACAUUAUCUUUCGAUUAUGGUUUUGGAAAAUUCACAUGGAUAGAAACACAUACACCAUAAAAUCUAAGUGUCAUAAGGUUUCUCUCCUUCAUGAAAAUGAUUGUGAGGAAACGCUUUCACUAAGAGAGAUUUUAAGGAGACAACGAUUAUGUAAAUUGCAUUCCAAAUUCGAUUAUGAUUACGGCAUCCCUUUUCAUAGUUCGAAUUGUAAGAUUUGGCAAUUAGUCUGAACAUUUGGGACUUAGUAAAAUAAGUUCUGAAUUAGUUUGAACACACAUGUGAGCUGUCUAAGGAAAGGUGUGUGAUUUUGAGAAGCUUAGAUAAAGGCUAAUCGAAGCAUAACCAAUGAACUUUGGAAAUCAAUAAGUACUGUUUUUUAGAAGUUAAGCUAGUUUCUAAAUAAGUGUCAAAGUUAGUGGGAGCAUAAAUGUUAUGCUGGAAUGGAUAUAAUCAUCAUGUUAGUGGGAGCAUGAUUAUUAUUUAGUAUUGCAAGUUGGCAAUAUUAAUUAUAGAAAAACAAAAGUUUCACCUUGCAAAGUUGCAGGGGUUGAAAAGUUGUUUUUACUAUAAUUAAGGGAGAGAAUGUUAUACUUUGUUAAUAAUCUAAAAGCUUAGAUCGAGAAAUUUUAAUUGAAUUUAGUCAAGGAUAUAUUUAUUAUUUGCAUUCUCAAAGUUCUAUUAUGAUUACGGCAUCCCUCUUCGUAGUUCGAAUUUUGAGAACACGGCAAAUAGAAAUAUAAUGACGAUAUUAUAGUAAGAAACUGGUAAAAUAUCACGUUUUUCAUUAUGAAUUAUAUCCCAUACGCUUCGGGUAUAGGAUCAAUUGCAUAUGCUAUAAUAUUCGACCGUUCUAAAAUUUUACAAAUGCCUAGGGCAUUUAGAAGGAAAAAGGAAAUAGAACCGGUUUUUGACUAAAAUAAUUAAACAACUACCAAGGACAAUCUAAGGUUCGCCAAGGAUUUGUCGCAAGUAUAGUAAUGAAUGGACCAUAUUGACAUUAUUAUGAAUAGAUACGAUUCUAUGUAGAAUGAGUUGUCAUUUGGAAAAUAUGGAAAUGUUUCCAUAUUGGGAGUUAGAUAUCGAGAAUCAAUAUCUAGAUUAGAAACUUUUAUGCAAGAAGGAUGUUCAAAGGAAUGUACUUUGAAUACGAGACUUCGUGACUAUGGAAUUGUCUUGUAACAAUCUCCAAUAGAGUAUUUUGUAAUUUCAUUGGUCGAGUCUUGGUGACUUUUUUGUCAUGACAUUACGAAAAGGACUGUUGCAUAAAAUGUUAGAAUCUAACAUAUUCUAGUAGUGGCAAGAAUUUUGUAUUCUUACACUAAUGGAUUAGGAAUUGUGAAAUAAGUGUGAUUGAAAAUGUUAUUCAAUUAUACUAUUUCACAAAGUAAGGACCAUAGGUAAACAUAGUGUGCAUGCUGAGAGCAUGGGACAAUUGUUGUUAUAACUCAAGUAAGAAGUUGAUUACCCAAAACAACAAAUAAUGAGUAAUCAAUAUGGUGAUUAAAUAAAAUGUGUUUUAUUUAUAUUGGGGCCAUAUAGGAUUAGUAUUAUUCUUGUGUUUCACUUUGCAUGUUUUGACUUCCUGAAUAAUAAGAUUUUUCAAACUCUCNCUCCACAGUCGCUCAUUCUUUGGAAGUAGGAAUGAAAGAAGAUUGUCAUGAAUCUGACUGUAGAUUGUCUAAAGUGUUUUAGACAUAGCAAAAGUUUGAUGCAGGGUUCAUGAGUGCUGCUAUAGGAAUAGAGUAUUGGAAUAAACCCACACUUACUUGGAUCGCUUCAUGGAUUUUAUCACGAGGGAUUGGUGAGACGAUAAUAUCUUAUAUUCUUGAAACUGAGAUGUGUGAGUUGUAUCUUACGAGUCGGUUACACAUUGAUAAUAUGUAAACGCACCAGUAACUUGGUGUUAUAAAACAUAUUGUUGUGUGUGAUUCGGUGAGUGAGUGCAAGCAAGUAUUGAAUCAAAGUUUAUCCGUUCCUUUUAUUCAAAGUAGGAUAAAAGCGAUAUCUUUCGGCCCCUCGAUGAUUUACUGAUGACACCCAAAGCAUUUGGGCAAGCCGGGACUAAUUUGAUGUGUUCAAUUGUAGUCUGUUGUCAGUCGUCGUAAAUCGGAAAACGGGAAACAACACAUAGAUGAGAGAAUGAUUUAAAUCCAUGUUUCAGUCUAUACGAUAUCUAGAAUGGAGGAAUAUAUUCCCUUAUCUAAAGGACAUGUGUAUCUGAUAAGAUUAGACUUGACAGCGGCUUUGGAAAGCUACGAUUGCAGAUCAGGAUCGGAAGUCAUACGCAGAAUAGUUAUUAGACUUAUCCAAGUGGGAGACUGUUGGAUUAGUGUCUAAGUCCAUAACUAUUUUGGUAUGUACUUGACCCGAUGGUGCAUGGUCCUUUUGGGUUGCCUUCACCAAAGCAACUUGAUAGGAUGAAUUAUGGAGAUAGAGGAUUAAUUAUGAUUUAUUAAUAUAUUAUGAGAAUAAUAUAUUAAAGGAGAAAUCAUAUUGUUUAAUUAAUAUUAGUCAAGAAUUAAUAAGAAUUAAUUUAGUGGCUAAAGGACAUUAAUUAAAUAAAGGGGACUAGAACUGUCAAUUGUGUGAUAGUUGAAUAUUGGGCUAAUGGAAUCCAUAGAGGAUGGAGUGGACGAAUUCUAUGGGGAAACCCAUUAGAAAUCGUCCAAGGCCUCUAAGGAGGGAGUCCAUGGGUUGCUUAGGGCCUAAGUAGUCAAAUUAGGGUUUCCUUGUUAGAUAACCCUAAUAGCCUCACUAUUUAAGGACCCCUAGGGCACUAAAAAUGUGGCCAAAUAACUCCUUAGGGUUUCUACACUUUUUGGGUGCCUCCUCUCUUCUCAUUCUUCAUCCUCUUGCUCUUGGUGUUUGUGAACCAUUAGAGGAGUGACACUUGUGACUCUAAGCUUUCUAAAGCCAAUUACAAGGAGGAUUUGAGAUUGUUAUUACUACAUAACAAUCAAGGUAUGAUCUAAACCCUAGUUCAUAUAUUAAUAUC
rnacentral:lncRNA from 1 species